AGCGAAGUCACAGGACGGGGAAAUGUGACGGAGAGGGGCCCAAGGACCUUUCUGACACCCGAUUAGUUCCUGAGUUUCUGUGUCCGGCCCGGUCCGGAAACUUUUGGGUACCCCCCAGAGGUGAGCCUGCGUUUGUGUUUGUUUAUAUGUGCAUACACUGUAUUGUGAGUUUGUGUGUGAGUGUGUUAUGCAUGUGAGGUGGGAUUGUUAGUGAAGAUGCAGGAAGUACACUGGAAAAUUGCCCAUUGCUUUUUAAAGACUCUAGGAGAGGAUGGGGAAAAAAAAGACAGCGAGUGGGGUUAAACAAUGCUCCAAACAGCUGGUCAUGUUAAACACAGGAGUUACAGUAUGUUCACUGAGAGAAAGUAGGGACCUUGACCUGUGGCUCCUCAAGACUCCACUUACAUGAGACUAUAAGUGGGGUCAAGAGAGUUCAAGUGCUUCUUUGGGAGAACAGACUGUUUCGGCCUUGGGAACCUUGACAGUGAACAUUGAACAUCGUAAUAAAUCACCUAUGUGGGGCAGCAAAACAGUGUUAAAUGAACUAUGAACAAACUGAUGUAUGUACAGUAGUCAGUAAGGAGCCAGCAGCACAUCAUUUAGAGGAGACAGUCUUCAAAUGUAGUUUGCAUUUCAUCCUUUUGUUAUUUAAUGUUUACAUUUUGUCCUCCUUGUAGAUAAUUUACUAAAAUUGAUUUUUUCAGAUUCCUUCAGGUCAGAGACCGUUUUUAAUUAAGACAUUAAACAAGCACAGGGCGGUGAACCUUGUCUCAGGAGUAUCUUUACUAAUGCACAUAAAGCCAAAGACAGCAAACAUCUUGUAUCCUUAAUUUAGGACUAAUAAUGACUCAUCUGUCCAAAAAAUAUCUAAGGAAGACUGGAGCGAUAUUUGGGAAUGUCAGGCCAGGACUACAUAUUCAAGAUCUUUCUCUGAAUUCCUGACCCCAGAACUGAGUUUCCCCCCAGAAGGGUUUGACAGGACUGGAUGAACACUGGAGGAAUAUGUGGUAAAUCAAUGGCAGAUCACUAAGAUAUAAUAAUAAUAAAAAAUAAAAUAAUAGAUAAUCGGACAGACUACAAGUCUGUGUGCCACAUCAAUCAGUACCUGUUCCCAUGUUGCUUUCAUUGUAUCAUAUAAAUCUUGGAAAGUAUUAAAAAGCAAAAAGGUUCCCGCCAGAGAUGCAAUUUUCAUCUAAUGGUGAAAUCAGGGAGAUGAUGGAAAUAAAAUUAAAAUUAAGCCAUAUUCACCCGACCUGUCGAGAUAAAAAGUCUUUUUUCAAGAUUAUAUUAUAUUUGACAGUAGCAGAUGAAAAAAAACUUUGCAGCUUCUUGAAAUUGGAAAAUAUCUUAUCUUAUUCCAAUGGCAGAUUUAUUUUUGUUUUCACUCAUUACAAAUGGUUCAGAUUUUCUCUUUGACGUGUAACAGAAGUAAGACCAAAACGCUUCUGUAGAGUACAGUUGGAGUUUUUUCCUACUGUAGCACCUCCAGCUUCAGCACCUCCAAAACUCAGCUGUGAGACCAGGAAGAGAGCCCACAUUACCCAGAUUUUACAGUCUCUGCAUCAGCUCUAAGUUUCUUUUAGAAUAGAUUUUAAGGUUCUUUUAUUAGUUUUUAAAGCCUUUGACAACCUUACAUCAACCAAUCUAUCAGAUUUGCUUCUAUUAUAUGAUCCUGUGAGGGCCUUCAGUUCUGAGGAGCUGGGAACCUAAAGACUUGAGCAAAGCAAACUAAAGAACUUUAUUUUGAGUUUGAUCUUCUUCAGGUAACUCUGUUCAUCAGUUUCUUUUACUUUAUUCUGUAAUGUUUUCACCCUGAAUUGUGGUCUACUUUAUUCAGCCAUAUGUUAUUCUUUUAUUAUGUUAACUUUCUUUGUGUCUUAUCUCAAUUUAUUUAUUUCUAAGCUGAUUUCUCAGUCCUAUCCAGUUGUCUUUUUU
rnacentral:lncRNA from 1 species